UACAGAGGUCUCAAGCGUUGCUCGGAAUCACUGGGCGUAAAGCGCACGUAGGCGGCUUUUUAAAUCAGGGGUGAAAUCCUGGAGCUCAACUCCAGAACUGCCUUUGAUACUGAGAGCUCGAGUCCGGGAGAGGUGAGUGGAACUGCGAGUGUAGAGGUGAAAUUCGUAGAUAUUCGCAAGAACACCAGUGGCGAAGGCGGCUCACUGGCCCGGUACUGACGCUGAGGCACGAAAGCGUGGGGAGCAAACAGG
rnacentral:rRNA from 1 species